CAGGUUGGUGACGGUCCCGUGUCUGUCAAAAGUCAUUUGUCAUUAUUUAAUACCAUAAUAAGCUAGCGAAACAGAAUCUCAAUGCAACAAUAAAAAACUGUACUAUCAAAUACCCAAAGCAUAUUUGACAUGCCCACUAAGCUGAGAGUAGGUUUGACUAAGUGAUAUUACCAACUAGGUUUGACUUAAUAGAAAACCUGGAGUUUACUCCGAGCAAG
rnacentral:misc_RNA from 1 species